rnacentral:rRNA from 1 species
CCUACGGGAGGCAGCAGUGAGGAAUAUUGGUCAAUGGGCGCGAGCCUGAACCAGCCAAGUAGCGUGAAGGAUGACUGCCCUACGGGUUGUAAACUUCUUUUAUAAAGGAAUAAAGUGAGGCACGUGUGCCUUUUUGUAUGUACUUUAUGAAUAAGGAUCGGCUAACUCCGUGCCAUCAGCCGCGGUAAUACGGAGGAUACGAGCGUUAUCCGGAUUUAUUGGGUUUAAAGGGAGCGUAGAUGGGUUGUUAAGUCAGUUGUGAAAGUUUGCGGCUCAACCGUAAAAUUGCAAUUGAUACUGGCAGUCUUGAGUACAGUUGAGGUAGGCGGAAUUCGUGGUGUAGCGGUGAAAUGCUUAGAUAUCACGAAGAACUCCGAUUGCGAAGGCAGCUUACUAAACUGCCACUGACAUUGAUGCUCGAAAGUGUGGGUAUCAAACAGGAUUAGAUACCCUAGUAGUC